rnacentral:rRNA from 1 species
AACCGAGAACUCCUACGGGAGGCAGCAGUGAGGAAUAUUGGUCAAUGGUCGCAAGACUGAACCAGCCAUGCCGCGUGCAGGAAGACGGUCCUAUGGAUUGUAAACUGCUUUUAUACAGGAAGAAACCCUCCCACGUGUGGGAGCUUGACGGUACUGUAGGAAUAAGGAUCGGCUAACUCCGUGCCAGCAGCCGCGGUAAUACGGAGGAUCCAAGCGUUAUCCGGAAUCAUUGGGUUUAAAGGGUCCGUAGGCGGUCUUAUAAGUCAGUGGUGAAAGCCCAUCGCUCAACGAUGGAACUGCCAUUGAUACUGUAAGACUUGAAUGCUUAGGAAGUAUCUAGAAUAUGUCGUGUAGCGGUGAAAUGCUUGGAUAUUACAUGGAAUACCAAUUGCGAAGGCAGGUUACUACUGACUGAUUGACGCUGAGGGACGAAAGCGUGGGGAGCAAACAGGAUUAGAAACCCCGGUAGUCCGACUGAGA